CAAGAGGCCGCGUCCCACCAGC
rnacentral:miRNA from 1 species